AUAGUAGAAAUGGAGAAUUCUGGGCUAGUACAUAUGUUGAAAAAUGGAAAGACAGAAGACCUUGGUUGCAUGUACAAGUUAUUUAGUCGUGUGCCAAAUGGUUUGAAAACAAUGUGUGAGUGUAUGAGUUCCUAUUUGAGGGAGCAAGGUAAAGCUCUUGUUUCUGAAGAAGGAGAAGGAAAGAAUCCUGUUGACUAUAUCCAGGGCUUAUUGGAUCUGAAGAGCAGGUUCGAUCGCUUCCUCCUGGAAUCAUUCAACAAUGACCGUCUCUUUAAACAAACUAUUGCGGGUGACUUUGAGUAUUUUCUCAACCUCAACUCCAGGUCUCCUGAAUACCUCUCAUUAUUUAUUGACGAUAAGCUGAAAAAGGGAGUCAAAGGGGUAAGUAGUAAUGCAUUUGAAAAUAACAUUUAAUUUUAUUUAAAGAUGUAAAAUUAUAUGUAAAAUUAGGACAUUUCACAGAUAAAAAUUAAGCAUGACCCAUUGUUGUGCUUAAAUGUGUGCUGUGGUCUAUUAAAAAAUAUUGUUUGAAAUACUUGACAUGCUCAAAAGUAGUUAGACAUUUCACUUAAUGUGUAAUUGGCUUCA
rnacentral:sRNA from 1 species